GGGAUGUGCUCAGAGCAGGGGGCCUAAAGAAAUGGCUCCUCAGUUUACAACACACCCAACAGGAACUCGUUGUGUGGAGGGGCACAGAACUCGUGCCCUUCCUGUGAGCAAACACCCUACAUGU